CACUUCCAGCAUAACAAUUAUUGGAGGCACUGCCUGCCCAGUGACAUCCGUUAAACGGCCGCGGUAUUCUGACCGUGCAAAGGUAGCAUAAUCAUUUGUUCUUUAAAUAAGGACUUGUAUGAAUGGCCACACGAGGGUUUUACUGUCUCUUACUUCCAAUCAGUGAAAUUGACCUUCCCGUGAAGAGGCGGGAAUUCAUAAAUAAGACGAGAAGACCCUAUGGAGCUUUAAUUAACUAGUCCAUAAAAUAAACACUAUACUUCUAAGGAAAACUAAACCAACUUUUUACUGGACUAGCAAUUUAGGUUGGGGUGACCUCGGAAUAUAAAACAACUCCCGAGUGGCAUAGUCUAGACUAACAAGUCGAAACCCACCAUCAUUUAAUGAUCCAAUUUCUUUUGAUCAACGGAACAAGUUACCCUAGGGAUAACAGCGCAAUCCUAUUUGAGAGUCCAUAUCGACAAUAGGGUUUACGACCUCGAUGUUGGAUCAGGACAUCCCAAUGGUGCAGCCGCUAUUAAUGGUUCGUUUGUUCAACGAUUAAAGUCCU
rnacentral:rRNA from 1 species